AGCGAACGCUGGCGGCAGGCCUAACACAUGCAAGUCGAGCGGGCAUCCUUGUGGUGUCAGCGGCAGACGGGUGAGUAACGCGUGGGAACGUGCCCUUCGGUUCGGAAUAACUCUGGGAAACUUGAGCUAAUACCGGAUACGUGCGAGAACAGCAAGGUUUAUCUGCCGAAGGAUAGGCCCGCGUCUGAUUAGCUAGUUGGUGAGGUUAUGGCUCACCAAGGCGACGAUCAGUAGCUGGUCUGAGAGAAUGACCAGCCACACUGGGACUGGGACACGGCCCGGACUCCUACGGGAGGCAGCAGUGGGGAAUAUUGGACAAUGGGGGCAACCCUGAUGCAGCCAUGCCGCGUGAGUGAUGACGGCCUUAGGGAUGUAAAGCUCUUUUCUCCGCGACGAUAAUGACGGUACCGGAGGAAUAAGCCCCGGCUAACUUCGUG
rnacentral:rRNA from 1 species